rnacentral:rRNA from 1 species
UAGGGAAUCUUCGGCAAUGGACGAAAGUCUGACCGAGCAACGCCGCGUGAGUGAAGAAGGUUUUCGGAUCGUAAAACUCUGUUGUUAGAGAAGAACAAGGACGUUAGUAACUGAACGUCCCCUGACGGUAUCUAACCAGAAAGCCACGGCUAACUACGUGCCAGCAGCCGCGGUAAUACGUAGGUGGCAAGCGUUGUCCGGAUUUAUUGGGCGUAAAGCGAGCGCAGGCGGUUUCUUAAGACUGAUGUGAAAGCCCCCGGCUCAACCGGGGAGGGUCAUUGGAAACUGGGAGAGUUGAGUGCAGAAGAGGAGAGUGGAAUUCCAUGUGUAGCGGUGAAAUGCGUAGAUAGAUGGAGGAACACCAGUGGCGAGUGCGGCUCUCUGGUCUGUAACUGACGCUGAGGCUCGAAAGCGGGGGUAGCAAACAGG